UGGGUGAUAGUGUCCUUAUGGACUAAGAGAGAAGUUAGGUAUGUCCAUUUCAGUAUCCUAUGUUGAGGUCUGAAGGUCGGCAGUCUUUCCUCAUUCAGAUUUUUUGUUGGUGAGAUUUCCCUAAAUCUGAAGAGAUACGGCAACAGUGCACCAGUAAAACCGAGGAGAGCUGUGCAAUGCAGUUAGACUAUUUUCUUUUACUGGACGUCAGGCGCAAGGAGUCGGAGGGCCCACACUCCAGUACAUGAACCUCUCCCUGCUGUGGAACAGAUCAAUAGACUCCACAUUCAUGGUCAGAGAGAAAUGGACCUGGAGAUUGAAACGUGUUCUCCUCUGAAAGAAUGGUCAAGAGGAUACAUCCUUGUCAUUGGGUCAGAGUUGUCUGAUGUGAGAUUUUUAUGUUUUUUGGAAGGCUUUGAGUAUACUUGCAAUUUUAUUUUUUGUACCUGUGGACUCCUGCACUCCUUCCAUGGAAUCCACCAUUGGCACUGCCAUUAUGAACCAGCCCCUUCUAUUCCUGCCAGCCAUUUAAGAACUAAAAGGCUGUGAGUUAUCAGCCUUAAGUGGACUGCCUGGAAACAUCUGAUUUUGGAUAUCUCAAGGGACCUGCC